rnacentral:rRNA from 1 species
ACUCCUACGGGAGGCAGCAGUGGGGAAUAUUGCACAAUGGGGGAAACCCUGAUGCAGCGACGCCGCGUGAAGGAUGAAGUAUUUCGGUAUGUAAACUUCUAUCAGCAGGGAAGAAAAUGACGGUACCUGACUAAGAAGCCCCGGCUAACUACGUGCCCGCAGCCGCGGUAAUACGUAGGGGGCAAGCGUUAUCCGGAUUUACUGGGUGUAAAGGGAGCGUAGACGGUAUGGCAAGUCUGAUGUGAAAGGCCAGGGCUCAACCCUGGGACUGCAUUGGAAACUGUCGAACUAGAGUGUCGGAGAGGCAAGUGGAAUUCCUAGUGUAGCGGUGAAAUGCGUAGAUAUUAGGAGGAACACCAGUGGCGAAGGCGGCUUGCUGGACGAUGACUGAC